rnacentral:misc_RNA from 1 species
GGUUGUUGCUACUAGUUCUAAAAUUUCAAGCUUUAUUUUCUUCGUUGAUUGGUUUACCUGCUGCAUUACGGAUUCAUGAGCUGAAAGAAGAAAUUUUGGAGUCUUAUUUUUAUGGACUUGCUAGGACCUAUAGCUGCCUCUACAGGUGCUAUUGUUUUGGAGGAUAUAUUUAGCAUUAUAAAAAAGUGGUGCUUUGUUCUUGUAGUUUCUCUGCCUUUUCAUGUUCAAAGAAAAUAUUUUCUAAUCCUUAACUGUGGUUUUGCUUCAUUCAUUUGUUCGGCAAACAAAUUAUUAAAUUUCUAUUUUUUAAGUAGUGUUUUUAUCCAUAACUCUGUAGAAUAAAAAUUAUUAAAUCUUAACUGGGUAUCACAUGUGAUAUUUAUCUCUUAUCUUCCCUUUGUUUGAGGUCUUUUUCUAUUCAUAAAAUGCUUCCUCCCACUUUGCUUUGAUUUAUUUGGCUAUACAAGUUGUCUAAUUUCCAUGCCUGGACAGGAAACAUAGAAAUUAAUAUCCAUCUGAAGGAAUUAGAAGACAUGCAGUCAAACUCUGAAAGUGCAUAUCGACGGGAACCAGACCCACAUGUCAUUCAACCAAAUGCAGUUCAUUCUGAGCCUUGGUGGCGCAGUUUUGGAUAUAAUACCGUGCCUCCAGUGGUGCCAGGGGAAAAUGCAUCCAAUUUGUCUUCACCUGAUGGCCCAACAAAUGGUUCAUUGUCAAAUGAUGAUCAGUCACUGUCAAAUGAAAGAGUAAAUGAGGAAGAUGAUGAUGCUAGCAAAGAAUCACAAGCCACUGCAUCUUCACGAUCAGUUGUGAAUUGUGGACAAGAACACAGAAACAUGCACGAUAUUUCUUCAAGUAGGACUACAGUGCAUGAUGAGUCUCUGACACAACCGCCACAGCUUGAACUUGUUGGUCACUCUAUUGUAAGUGCUUCCUUUCCCAGUGCCCCUUCUUCCUUUGUCCACAUGCAGAAGUAAAUUUCUUGCGUUUAGAGUAUGCAGCAGCUGAAAACUAAUCAACCUGUAGACUCAAGAUUCUUUAAUUUUAAGAAUUAAGGAACUCAUUCUUACAUGCCAAACAGAAGGAAUUCCUAGUUUCUUGCAAUUUUUCUUGCAGGCAUGUGCAUCAAAUCCAUACCAGGAUCCAUAUUACAGUGGAAUGAUGGCAGCUUAUGGGUAUCAACCUUAUGUAAGAAUAAUUCUGAACAUAUGAUACCUUAUUGAAAAUGACUGAUAACCUGCUUUUAUUUGUUACUCAAAGACAACCAAAACAGCAUUUUGUCUGCUUCUUACUACUGUUUAGAAGGGGGGCAAAAAUUAGUCAAUGACAAGAUAUCCAAUUCAGUUGUGAGAUCACAAGAACGAAGUUUAUUUUCUUUGCUCCCUACUCAUAUUUCUUGAUAGAAUGGCAUCAACGUAGGCUUCUAUUGGUAUCAAAGCACUUGGGAGCUCUUGGGCCUAGGUUUAAUGGUGUAAAUUUUUACUUGUACCCUCAGACUGUGCUUUCUUCUUGUAAGUUGUUACAUUUUCUUGGUUGGAGGUGGAAUAGGAAGAAAAGAUAUUUUCAGGCACCUGAAUACUGAAAUUCCUAUAAAAGAAGAGUGAGUUUGUUUCUCAGCUAAAAAAUAAUUCUUUAAUGAGAACAUCGUAACAUAACUUGUACAUGUUUAUUACCUAAAGAUGACAAAGAUUAAAUCAGAUUCAGAUAUGAUACCGUUGGCAUAAUUUUGACAUACUAAUUUCUUGCAUACUGCAAGUGAAAUCAAAUUAACUGGUCCUUUUUUCUUUUUGCUUGGGGGGCCUGAUCAGCAUGGGGAGGGUUGCUAUUCUAGCAAGACCCAUGUUGGUCUUGAUUUUCUUCUUCUCAUAAUCAUUUUCUUCCCCCAAAGUUUUUCAUGUAUAUAUAUGUGAAAAAUCUAAUCCAUUAAUCUUUUCAAUGUUAGAGUUAUCCUCAUCUCAUAGGAAUGCAUCAUACAAGAAUGCCUUUACCCCAUGAGAUGGCCCAGGAACCUGUUUACGUAAAUGCCAAACAAUACCAAGGGAUUCUGAGGCGAAGAAAGGCACGUGCAAAAGCAGAACUUGAGAAGAAGCUGAUUAAAGUUAGAAAGGUAGAUUUAGAUACUUUUAUGUUACGUUGGGGAUUUGGGGUAUUGUGCUGCUUCUUGGCCCUGCCUGGCUUUUGCUAUUUGAUAGUAUGCAAAGGGUAUUUUUUGUGCAUAUAAUCAAGUAAUUUGCUAUUCUCAGUUGCUUUUUUGUGGCAAUUUCUUGCACUUCAUUGAAGUUGUAGAUUCUAUCAUUUUAGUUAACCAGGUUAUCAUGGAAUAUUUUUUACAAUAAAUUUUAAUAUUAAGUUCAAUGUCAUAAAUGAUUUUCCAAUAAUAAUUUCAGGUUUCAGAUGUAGUUCUAAAAAGUGAUCUUGAAGUUGUUUUACAAUUGAAUGGGAGUUAUAUGUUCCUCAUGGAAUAACCUUUGAAUCUAUAAUUUAUGUGUGAGUUAAAGUUUUAUGAUUUGAUUAGAUUGAAUAAAUGCUAGUGCAAAGUUUUCCAUCCUGAGACAGUGACGUAUCACCGUCUUAUUAUUAUUUUUUUUUUCCAUGAUUCCAUAUGUAGUAGUAAAGCGUGUGAUAUCUCAUUAGUUAUCAUAUUUUUCUAGCCAUAUCUUCAUGAGUCUCGGCACCAGCAUGCUAUGAGAAGGGCAAGGGGUACUGGAGGACGUUUUGCAAAGAAAACUCAUAUAGAUGCUUCCAAGAACAGCACAGAAGGAAAGGCCAAUGAUUCUGGUCCAGGCCCCUCAUCUCAGUCUGGCAGUUCAUCAGGUUCUGAACAAUUGCCUUCAGAUUCUGCUGAGGUGUGGAUUUUCCCCCAUGGUCAACAAGUGGCGAGAGCAUCCCUAGUGAAUGAAACUUUGGAAGCUAAUAACCGCGUAAAUGGAGGCACUUGUUACCACAACUGCAGUGGCGUGCAGACCUCCACACACCAUUUACACUCAGGUGAAAUGGGGGAGGAAGGAGACUGUUCAGGCCAACAACGAGGGAGCAUUUCCUCAAACCAGGCCUCACAGAGGCCUGUUGCUAGCCAGUGAACUCCAGUAUGCUAAGUGGAUGGCAAUACCGAGGAUUCAGUUCAGCCAAGUAGAGAGAUGAAUCCUUUUCUUAUUGGGUAACCACAUGCACAUCCACAUCCUUGGCAACAUUUUGCCAGGCGGCAAUUCAUUCUUGGCUUUGUUUUGUGUGGCGACUUGGAUGAAGAGAGGGAAACGAGGGAUGAAGAGGUUAUUGGCUUGUUUUAAGUCAGCCAAUGCCCAAUGCUUUUGCCAUCAUCUUUUCCAUUUUCAUUUUUCCUGUGUAAAUAAACCUGUGGAAUAAAUGUGAGUAGAAAUACCGGAGAGAUUUUAAAUGGGGAAGCAGCUCUUUAAUUUAGUGUAGGGAUCUAUGUUCUUGUCUGACAAUUUCUUAUCUGUUUGCAAUUGGACGGUGGACAUAUUUUUUUGCUUUCCACUAGUAGUCUGCAAUCUCGUAGCCAGUACUCAUAUAGUAUAUCAUUCCUACACAAAGUGUGACCUACUAUACGUUGAAGUCUGUGUACGAUAUGCCUGACUAUAACCAUAUUAAAAAUUCU